AUUGAACGCUGGCGGCAGGCCUAACACAUGCAAGUCGAACGAGUGGCGGACGGGUGAGUAAUGUCUGGGAAACUGCCCGAUGGAGGGGGAUAACUACUGGAAACGGUAGCUAAUACCGCAUACCAUCGGAUGUGCCCAGAUGGGAUUAGCUAGUAGGUGGGGAAAUGGCUCACCUAGGCGACGAUCCCUAGCUGGUUUGAGCGGAUGACCAGCCACACUGUAACUGAGAAACGGUCCAGACUCCUACGGGAGGCAGCAGUGGGGAAUAUUGCACAAUGGGCGCAAUCCUGAUGCAGCCAUGCCGCGUGUAUGAAGAAGGCCUUCGGGUUGUAAAGUACUUUCAGCGGGGAGGCGUUACCCGCAGAAGAAGCACCGGCUAACUCCGUGCCAGCAGCCGCGGUAAUUC
rnacentral:rRNA from 1 species